rnacentral:lncRNA from 1 species
AGUCAGUGGAAAGGAAAGUCUUGGGAUAGAGCGUGCCGUUGGAGUUGAGAACAUUGCUCUCUCCCUGCCUCUUUAUUAAAUCCCCCAAAAUAAAACUUCUUUCUUUAAAAAAAAAUCUAAUCCUGGAAGUUUGCUCGGCACAAAAGACAUGGACUUUACAUAUGUCAAAUCAUCAUCCCAGCCUGGUGCUCCACAGAACAUUAUACUGCCAUGGAGAAUUUCUGGAUGCAGGGAUCACCACCCUUUUGAGGUUGCCAUUUAAAUCUCAAUGAAAGAACAAUCCCUUGGAGAUCAAAAUCACCCAGAUUAAAGAUGAAGACAUUAAAGCUUCAAGAGGACAAGUUCUUACACUUUUUCAAGUCUACUCUGAGUCAGCAGUAGAAGAGAGAAAGACAAACUCAGAAUCCCACUCUUCCGUUUGUGCUUCAUCACCCGCCAUUUACUAUCAGCAUCAAAAUCAACACUGACACAAGCAUCUUCACCAUCAUUAUUAUCUUCAUCCCCAUCAUCAUCAGUGAAUCACACACAUUUCAUAUUUGCAAGAGGAGAGAUGAAACUGGAACAAUCUAGCCAGAAUACGAUUAUUCCACUAGUGAAAUCAUGAACUUUAGAAAUGAAAAUGGGGAAAUCCAGCUAUAGUAAGAUUAUUCCGUUAGUGAGAUCAGAAUCUUAAUUGAUUCAUUGCUGGGAGAGGAAACAGCUCUCCAGGCUAAUCCAGAAGCAGCCUGAUUUAGUGGAUACAGCACGGGCCUGGGAGCCAGAAGGACCUGGUUUUUAAUCCAAAUUCUACAACUUGUCUGUUGCGUGCUCUUGGGCAAGUCACUUCACCUCUCUAUGCCUCAGUUACCUCAUCUGUAAAACGGGGAUUAAAACUGAGAGCUCCAUGUGGGAGAGAGACUGUGUCCAAUCUUAGUUGUAUCUACACCAAUGUUUAGUACACUAUACUAUUAAAAAAUCUAGAUUUUUCUAUACUUUUUAUGGUAUUUGUUAAGCACUACGUGUCAAGCAUUAUUCUAAGUAAUGGGGUAGAUAAAAAUUUUAUUAGGUUGGACAAGUCCCUGUCCCAGAUGGGGCUCACAGCCUAAAUAGGAGGGAACCAUCUAAGUAGGUAGGGAUAAUAAUAAUAAUAAUAAUAAUAAUAAUAAUAAUGUUGGUAUUUGUUAAGCGCUAUGUGCAGAGCACUGUUCUAAGCGCUGGGGUAGACAAAGGGGAAUCUGGUUGUCCCACGUGGGGCUCACAGUCUUCAUCCCCAUUUUACAGAUGAGGGAACUGAGGCACAGAGAAGUUAAGUGACUUGCCCACAGUCAUACAACUGACAAGUGGCAAAGCUGGGAUUCGAACUCAUGACCGUUGACUCCAAAGCCCGUGCUCUUUCCACUGAGCCACGAUGCUUAUUAUUGCGUCGAGCCCACA